GUGGUGACAGGUGGACACCUGGGUAGGAACGCUGCUGCUGGUUGGCUGGUAGGAGGUGCUGCAGAGAGACCCCUACCUGACUGUCAUCCUCUCUCAGUGGCGAGUCCAUCUAGUUCAGACUCAGACAGGUGGAAGAAGUCAACUCCUAACUAGGGUAUAAUGAAGCAUGAUGGAAGUAUUUGACCCAGCGGCUCUUCUAUACCCAGGAGGCCCUGACUGCCACAUUCACCAGUUGAUUUUCCAGGGAACAUAAUCAGAGGCAGAAUCGUCUGGUGGUUAAAAGUACAAUCUGGAGUUAGACUGCUUGAUUUUCAAUCCCAGCUCUUCCACUCAUCAGCUUUGUUAUCUUAGCCAUUUUCUCAGGGCCAGGUAACUAGAUUGAAGCAGAGUCCAUGAAGAACUAACCAUGCCUCACUCCACCCCUGCAGAUGGCUCCUUCAUGAAGAUCUCCCCAUUUGGAACACAACAUCUGUUUCCUGCUGGGACCCUGACUGACACAAGGGUCAAAAUAAGCUCCUCCAUGGGAAGCAUUGAGAGAGGCAGAAAAUAAAGAGAAGGAAGAUAAUACUAUCCAUUCAUUGCAGUCGUCUAUGUGCUAAACACUGUGUGAAGCAUUUUGCAUGUAUUCAAUAAAUAUUUACUCAAUGCUUUAUGUGGGUUAAACACUAAUAAAUAGACAGUUUCUCUGCUCUCAGAGAGAUGACACAUGCAAUCCUCAUAA
ensembl:lncRNA novel transcript